GCCUGGAUGGUGAAACUGGUAGACACGCAGGACUUAAAAUCCGGUGAAACUGGUAGACACGCAGGACUUAAAAUCCGGUGAAACUGGUAGACACGCAGGACUUAAAAUCCUGUAGCUCUUAAAAAGCUGUGCGGGUUCAAUUCCCGCUCUAGGUA
rnacentral:tRNA from 1 species